rnacentral:lncRNA from 1 species
UAAAACAGAGAAACAGCAAUCAAUACUCAAGAAGAAAGCUUGACCCCCCAAGCUCUUCACUUCAACCCAUCUACCCCCCAACUCUUCAUCACCCAACUUAUAGACCUUGAAAUCAAUUGCCUUGGGCUGAUCGGCUUCGUAGAUUCUUCGACCACGACGAAGAGGAUGGCGAAGAAAAAAAUUAAAACUAGCAUUACGUACAUGAAUUUUUGGUGAUGUUUGUUGUUGCUGAUUCGCACCAAGGUACCUAUCCACCACAUAAAGCUCUCCACAACACUCAAUCAAAUUCUUUCUGCAACCAAAACCAAUAGGAGGCGAAAAAGGCACCAAUUCCAGAGACGAAUUGAUCCUAAAAAUUUGACCCCAUUUGUUAACAACACAAGGCUGACCCUUGUACACAAUUAAAUCAUCGUAAUCAGAAAUUUGGUCAUUAAUGAGUGUGAGCUCCUCAUUUCCAAUUUGGGCAAAACCCAAUUUUCCUUCAUUGUAGAUCAUGAAAAUUGAGCAGUCUUUAAAGUUAGGGGCUACAAUCACCUUGUUUAUACCAAAAAUGGAACCAGACCCCUUUGUGUAUCUCAGCGCAUAUGCUUUGCCCAGCUCCACCAUGUUAAGGUCCACCAGGUUCAAAUCCGUUGGAUUUCUUGCAACGUCGUCCUUGACAGAGCUGACCCGCCAGUUGGUUAUCGGAUUCAGAAGGCGAAUCUUGUCCGCGCACUCUUCGAGCUUCAGCAACCAGCCCAUGGAUGAAGGCGAUGAGGACGACGAGGAAGGAUUCGGAUUCGGAUUCAGAUUCGGAUCCGGGUCGGGCCGGGUGAGGUAGACGGUGAUUUGGGAGAGGAAGCCAGUGGGCCCGUGAGGGAAAGGGAAAUUGGGAGAUAUGGAGGCGCAGAAAGGAGGAAUGGAAGAACGCCAGGAGCUGCAGACGCUGCGGAAUCGUCGGACUUCGAUGUGGGUUUUGAGGUUUUGGGCGAUGAGUUGGUAGAGUUGGGGUGGAAGGUUGGUCCAGUCGACUCUGAUGCUGCUGCCAUCCAUGGCGGCCUUGUGCUUCCUCUGUUGACUUUGAUGAGUAGUUUUGCAGAGCAUUGUGCUUCUUCAGUUAAAUUUGAUGGAACACUCGGAGUUAAAUAUUUUUUUUCUCUUGCGCUACUAGUAGUUACUCACUGGUUUACUUUUUUUAACAAGUAAAGUUACACUUACCACAUUUUUAUUCUAUAUUUCUAUACCACAUAAUGUGGCAUAUCCAUAUUAUAUAUCACGUCAAUUAAAUCAAUGAAGUGUAUUUUAAUUAAGAUAAUUAGAAAAAUAAAUAUUAGAAUAAAUCAUAAAAAAUAAAAAAAUAUUAAAUAAUUUUAAUUGAUGUGACUGUUCACCUCAGCUGCCAUAUAAGAUUGUAUAAGAAUGUAGUAUGCAAAUAUGAUAAGAGUAGCAUUAUUCUUUUUUAAUAGUCUCAUGUCACAGGCUUCGCGAAAGUCAAUAUUUUCUUUUUAAAAUACUAGCCUCUUCGCAUGUGCGGACUUUUUUUUAAAAUUUAAAAUUUUAUUUUAGAAUUAAAAAUAAUAAUGAAUAGUUGUGUUUCAUAAAAAUAUAACUUAUUAUUUAAUUUUGUUUUAAUAUGAAAAUUAUGAAUUUAUCAUAUUAUCCUCAUUUAAUUAAUAAUUUUAAUUAUUAAUAUUUGAAUUAACCAAGAGCAUUUUCUGGUAUUUUGAAUAUUUCACAAUUCUCUGCUUUUUGCUUUAUAUAUAUAGAUUUAUUAUAGUUAAAUAUUUUUUUGGUAAUUGAGUUUUACACGAAAUUGUAAUUUAAUUUCUAAGAAGAAAAAAAAAUGUUUAGGUAUAGUUUAAACUAUAAAGUAUUCUCAUACAAACAACCAACGUGCCAUGAGAAUUCGAACCUCGAACCUGAAAUCACCAAUCUGCAAGUUAAGACCAUUUUUUCAUUUUGCUAGACAUUGUUUGCCUUUUUUAAUUUUAUGUUUAAAAAACUUAUCCAACAAACGCAUAUUUUUGCUCACCACUCUAACCCAAGGUGUAUCCUUAACAUCAUUCUCAACACUUAACAUGUGUCUAUGUGCAUAACUAUAGUUAACUCUUUGCUUUGUAUUUGUGGAACUAUAGUUAUGUUCAUAGACACGUGUCAAGUAUUAACAAGAAUUGUGGAAAUAUAUUGAAAGAAGAGAACUUGAGGGAAAUGUAAUGGAUAGAUAAGGGUGUUUGGAGAUAAGAGGAAAUAGAGAUGAGGGAGAUAAGAAGGAUGGGAAGAAGUGAGAUUGGAGAUUCAGAGAGAAGUAGGGAAAGGAGGAAAAGAUGAGAAGAAAUGGAACAACAACCAGAAGAUGUAAAAAAAACUCUCACAGAGGAGAGGAUGAACUCUCACAGAAGAGAGAAAGGAAAAAGGAGGAAACAGAGACUCUCUCUCCUCCUUUAGACAAUGCAAUUAUGCAACCAGACAGUUUUGGUAUAAAAAUCUUAGAUUAAUAAUUUGUAAAAUCUCAGAUAAUUAUAAAAAUAAAUUGAAAAUAAUUUGUAACAUCAUAAGUAAUUAAUAUAUAGAGAAUAUUAGGGGGAAAACAACUAAAGCUUGUUUAUCAAUUAAGAACAGGUACCAGAAAGCUUGUUUGUCAAGUAAGCUUGUUAAGAGUAUAUAAAAACAACACAAGCAUAUAUAUAUAUAUAUACACACUUACAUUAAUCCAAAGGAUAAUUAAGCUGGGAGUGGCCAAAACAUCUGAGAAUAAACAGGGGAAGAACUAAGCCAAUUAAUGCUACGAUCUUCCAAGCUGAAAACAGACCCAUCUGAUCUGAGCAACUCUUUCAACGCGAAACCAAUGUCAUUUGAAUCUGUGAAGUAAAUGCAAUUCCCUUUGCAACCCUCCAACUCUGUAGCCAAAACAGAGAAACAGCAAUCAACACUCAAGAAGAAAGCUUGAUCCCCCAAGCUCUUCACUUCAACCCAUCUGCCCCCCAACUCUUCAUCACCCAACUUAUAGACCUUGAAAUCAACUGCCUUGGGCCGAUCAGCGUCGCAGAUUCUUCGACGACGACGAAGAGGAGGAUGGCGAAGGAAAAAAUUAUAACUAGCAUUAUGAAGAGGUACUUGUGAUUUUUUAUCUUGCUGAUCAAGGUACCUAUCCACCACAUAAAGCUCUC